rnacentral:misc_RNA from 1 species
AUCCUCAUUGGGAACCACACCCAAGGGCUCCUCAAAGUAAGAAAAUCAAGAACACCACACACACAAAAAAAAAAAAAGCAAACUUGUUAGAAGCUUAGAGCUUCUAUUUUGUGUUGAUCUAAGGCAUGAAAGUGGAGUUUUAUUAUAUACUGAGCUUAAGGGAAGUGAUUUGGCACACACCGACACCCAAUUAAGAGGCUCACAUGAUGAUGCUAUGGUUAUGGACCCCCUGAGAUAAGCAUUGUUUAUACCAGCUUCUGCAAAUCAAUGGAAGCAUUAUCUUUCAUUCAAUGAGGUUUCAACUGUACAAAGCUAGAUCUUUUCUGCUCUCUCCACCUAUUUAAACCUACUUAUCAGCUCCUCAUUAAUACUUUGCCUCAACCAAGAAAUGCUCAUACUUGAGGGCAAGAACAAAUGCAAGAACAAAUGCAAACAUCGAUCAUUCUGAUUACCUUUUCUUUUGUACUAUAUUAUGUUGGGAUUAGGAUUGUAAAAAAAGAAAAUUCUUCUAUUGCUGUCUGACCUCAAAGUCAAUAUAUUUGAAGGAUCUUGAAGAAUAAAGAUAAAUUACAAUGUUGAGG